rnacentral:lncRNA from 1 species
AAUAAAUUAAGUAGGCGUUAAAAUAGUUCAUAUUUCAUCUGUGGAAAAGUCCAAACGGGACAGGAUGAACAUGGACUUGGAGAUGGAGAGCAAACGAACAAUUGGCAAAGUGCUGACAGGCCAGCCAAAGACUCUCUGCCGAAACAAUGUAGCCACAAAGUCAAAAACUUGGGACACGCCUCGACGGACGCAUUCUGAGAAAGUGCAUCUGGGAGCCGAGUCUCUGCCGCCGUCUUGUCUUGAUUAAUUUCGUGCAGACAGCGACAAUGAGCGAAAUGAGGUAGAAGAGAGCGGCCAUCAAUUAGCUAAGACAGACCAACUAAUUGGCACCAAAAAAAGAACAAAAUCAAACUAGAAGUAACUAAGCCCAAAGCCCAAACCGAUUCAAAUCAGAGACAGAAACGAGCAGCCACUGAAAGCCAACACCCAAUCGCCAAUCGAUGGAUGGCAUCACGUAGCCCGUGUUCGUUUAUCCACAGAGCCUCGAAUGAUUUUGCACUUUCGGUUUUUAUUUCACUCCGGGGAGCUUGUUAGACCCGGAAAAACGUGAGAACAGCCCAGGGAAAUGCCAGGAAAAUGCUGCAAAGAUGGAAAAGAACUCCCCGUUAAGAUGUGCUUGAUGUGUGUUUGCAUAUUAGAUUGCGGGCAUCUUCAUAUCUGAUAUAUGUAUCUGGUUGCGUAAGUCCAUAAAAGUUGCAUAUUUAUUGACCAUUAGCACCUAGGCCGCAGCUGAGUGGCUGCUCCCUCUGCUGCUCUGCCUGCCAUGUGAAUCCACUCAUCUACCCACUGGGGAGCGAACGUUUGGCUACUCGCAACUCGAACAUACUCUUCGAAUGAAUGCCAACAAUUCGCGUCGACAUGUUGUCUGCAUAAUUGCAACACACAUACUCGGACUCUGCGAAUAGAAGGCCUCACCACAGACUGACACUGACGCCAGCAUGUCGGAUCUAGCCCCCUGCACUCGCACUCGCUCUCAUUUCCAUUGCGCACCUCUAAGUAUAUUCCUAGUGCCCAUUCCUUAGUGCCCCGGUCUUCCUUGGGCGUCAAACUCCUCGCGCAUAGGCGCUGAAACCUUUGGGCAAACAAAUGCUUAGGUGGCGUCAACCUACUUCCUCGGACAGUGAAGGUUUUUCGAAGGUAAAGCAAAGGAAUGGCAAAUAUUAUGGAAGUAGGGAUCUGCAGUGAGUAAAGGUUACUCUUAGCCCGAUCCAUUAGUGUAUGUCAAAGCCCAGUCUCCACUGUACCCAAGAUGAUCGAAAAAUAAACGAAAAACUGGCACUGGCACGGCCCACAAAUUAUUGUCACUAUGCGGGGACGGCAUUGUCACACCUUUGGGGCCGUGGCGCUCGGACUGGCGCUGAAGUUUUAUUCUGAUUUUCAUUCAGAUGUCGCGAUUGCCACAAGAUUUCGAGGCUGAUGCUGACAGCGUCAACAAUGCAGAAAGGUGCAACGCAAACCACUUAAUGCCGAGCGCGUUUGGCACAUUUUUGUGCACCGCAAAGCGCAGAAAUUUCGGGUGCGGCACAUCGGCGAGAGGUGCGACAAUUUUCGUUUGGCGCAUUUUUUGAGGAGUGCCCGCGACGGUGGGGCGUUGCCCAGUCUCGUUGGCGUCGCCACGUCGGAAAAUGAAAAUAAAUUAAAAAUCAUUGCAUUUCAAUUCGUUUUCACUUAAAAAUACAACGUACACGAUUCAGAUCGGACGAUGGACGAUGGACGAUGCCCAAGGGGGGAUGGCCAGGAGAUGGGCAGGCAAUAAAUUACAUUUUUCUCUCGG